GCGAGGGUGCAUUUGAGGAAAGUCCCGAGUUUCCCUCGAUAGAUGUCACCAAGUCGACGCCGCUGGAAUCUUUUCCCCGAGGAGUUUCCAUGAAAAACCACCAAAGAAGAUGUCUAGCCAGGCCUGGAUAGUGGAGAAAUCUGGAAAACGAUGAAACAUCUGCAGAAAAGCCGGUUUGCCGUGACCUUCGACCUUUAUUCACACAACGGGCACCCUCUUGCCCUGCUACUCUGUAAAGUGCCUUUGUGACAGUUCUGUGUAAAAAGCGCUAUGCAAAUAAAAUUCAAUUGAACUGAA